CUCUUAUUAAUAGCCGUUGAGACGAGGGGUCUAAGAUACGGUGGCAAACCAGUUUGGUUCACAGAACUAAAUAUUGGGUGCCCAACCUGAGCACAAAAUGAGUACAUUUUGUGAGCAAUAAGAG
rnacentral:ncRNA from 2 species